GGACUACCAGGGUUUCUAAUCCUGUUUGCUCCCCACGCUUUCGCGCCUCAGCGUCAGUCUCGGUCCAGAGAGCCGCCUUCGCCACCGGUGUUCUUCCCAAUAUCUACGAAUUUCACCUCUACACUGGGAAUUCCACUCUCCUCUCCCGAACUCAAGCCCUCCAGUCCCAAGCGCCAUUCCCAGGUUGAGCCCGGGGCUUUCACGCCUGACUUGAAGAGCCGCCUACGCGCCCUUUACGCCCAGUAAAUCCGAACAACGCUCGCCCCCUUCGUAUUACCGCGGCGGCUGGCAC
rnacentral:rRNA from 1 species